rnacentral:rRNA from 1 species
AGGGGCAGCAUGAUUGUAGCAAUACAGAUUGAUGGCGACCGGCGCACGGGUGAGUAACGCGUAUGCAACUUACCUAUCAGAGGGGGAUAGCCCGGCGAAAGUCGGAUUAAUACCCCAUAAAACAGGGGUCCCGCAUGGGAAUAUUUGUUAAAGAUUCAUCGCUGAUAGAUAGGCAUGCGUUCCAUUAGGCAGUUGGCGGGGUAACGGCCCACCAAACCGACGAUGGAUAGGGGUUCUGAGAGGAAGGUCCCCCACAUUGGUACUGAGACACGGACCAAACUCCUACGGGAGGCAGCAGUGAGGAAUAUUGGUCAAUGGCCGAGAGGCUGAACCAGCCAAGUCGCGUGAAGGAAGAAGGAUCUAUGGUUUGUAAACUUCUUUUAUAGGGGAAUAAAGUGGAGGACGUGUCCUUUUUUGUAUGUACCCUAUGAAUAAGCAUCGGCUAACUCCGUGCCAGCAGCCGCGGUAAUACGGAGGAUGCGAGCGUUAUCCGGAUUUAUUGGGUUUAAAGGGUGCGUAGGUGGUGAUUUAAGUCAGCGGUGAAAGUUUGUGGCUCAACCAUAAAAUUGCCGUUGAAACUGGGUUACUUGAGUGUGUUUGAGGUAGGCGGAAUGCGUGGUGUAGCGGUGAAAUGCAUAGAUAUCACGCAGAACUCCGAUUGCGAAGGCAGCUUACUAAACCAUAACUGACACUGAAGCACGAAAGCGUGGGGAUCAAACAGG